AAGUCGUAACAAGGUUUCCGUAGGUGAACCUGCGGAAGGAUCAUUAUCGAAGUACGCUUCAAACACCCUUGUGAACUGUCGCCUUUUGGCGUAUACAAACGCUUGUUUUGUCAUGUAUGUCUUGUUAUUCAUAACAAAUACAACUUUCAACAACGGAUCUCUUGGCUCCCA
rnacentral:misc_RNA from 1 species